AAUCUUGCGCAAUGGGCGAAAGCCUGAUCCAGCAAUGCCGCGUGAGUGAUGAAGGCCUUAGGGUUGUAAAGCUCUUUUACCCGGGAUGAUAAUGACAGUACCGGGAGAAUAAGCCCCGGCUAACUCCGUGCCAGCAGCCGCGGUAAUACGGAGGGGGCUAGCGUUGCUCGGAAUUACUGGGCGUAAAGCGCACGUAGGCGGCUUUGUAAGUUAGAGGUGAAAGCCCGGAGCUCAACUCCGGAAUAGCCUUUAAGACUGCAUCGCUUGAAUCCGGGAGAGGUGAGUGGAAUUCCGAGUGUAGAGGUGAAAUUCGUAGAUAUUCGGAAGAACACCAGUGGCGAAGGCGGCUCACUGGACCGGUAUUGACGCUGAGGUGCGAAAGCGUGGGGAGCAAAC
rnacentral:rRNA from 1 species